rnacentral:rRNA from 1 species
UCAAUGAAACUAAUCUCCUCGUGAAGAAGCGAGGAUACAAAUAUAAGACGANAAGACCCCAUGGAGCUUUAAACAAACCCCAACUGCUCCCUCCCUAAUCAUAGAAAUUGAGCAUUAAUGACGGGUAGUUUUCGGUUGGGGUGACCGCGGAGUAAAACAAAACCUCCACAAUGAAUGUAAUAAAAUACUAAUAAAAGAACCACAAUUCUAAUAAUCAAAAAAUUGACAUAUUUGACCCAAACACUUGAUCAAUGAACCAAGUUACCCUGGGGAUAACAGCGCAAUCCAUUUUAAGAGCCCCUAUCGACAAAUGGGUUUACGACCUCGAUGUUGGAUCAGGGUAUCCUAGUGGUGCAGCCGCUACUAACGGUUCGUUUGUUCAACGAUUAAAACCCUACGUGAUCUG